rnacentral:rRNA from 1 species
UUCGCAAUGCCCGAAAGGGUGACGAAGCGACGCCGCGUGUGGGAAGAAGGCCUUCGGGUUGUAAACCACUGUCGGGAGUUAAGAAAUGCAAGGAUAUGAAUAGUGUCUUUGCUUGACUAAGGCUCCGGAGGAAGCCACGGCUAACUCUGUGCCAGCAGCCGCGGUAAUACAGAGGCGGCAAGCGUUGUUCGGAAUUAUUGGGCGUAAAGAGCACGUAGGCGGCUAUGUAAGUCGGUUGUGAAGGCCUUCCGCUCAACGGGAGAACAGCAUCCGAUACUACAUGGCUUGAGUGCGGGAGGGGAGAGUGGAACUUCUGGUGGAGCGGUGAAAUGCGUAGAUAUCAGAAGGAACGCCGGCGGCGAAAGCGGCUCUCUGGCCCAUAACUGACGCUGAGUGUGCGAAAGCUAGGGGAGCAAACAGGAUUAGAUGCCCCGGUAGUCCUAGCCGUAAACGAUGGGCACUAAGUAGAGGGGUUUU